AUAAAUCUCUUUAACUUAACACUAUGCCUUACACAUAAGAUAUGAACACAGCCGCCGAUGAAUAUUCGUUCAAUUUAUGUAUCGAUUUUGUGUUAUCGAUUCAUUGUUCCAUUUUCACGUCGUACCAACUGACCUACCUCACAGCGAAAUGGCGCUCAAGCUUCCUUUUCGAUCAAAACCUCCAACCUGACAAGAUCAGAGAUCAGCAGCUAUAGAGAGAAUUCGCCUUUUUAAUACAAGUGUUUUAAGUUAAUUAAAACAAUUUAAUCGCCUUGAAGCGACAAUUAAUUCGAGCUUCGCAAGCUAUAAGAAUUUCGCCAGUGACCACACUAUACAAGUUCUGUGCAUUGGCUGUGCAAAAGCCACAAUCCAUAGUCACAGACUGAAUUUUUAAUCCAAGUCCGAGUCUAUAACGAAGCCACGCUGUCUAGCGCCAAGGUUCUAAGGAAGCGUGCAAAACUAGUGACUGUUGAUCAAAAGAAGUAGGCUUUUUCAAGGGGGCCAAAAUCCAAAGAUUUUAGGUAGGGAAAGCAUACCAAAACCACGUGGAUUCCACUACCACAUCCAGGAAAAUUCCUACCUUAUUGUCCCGAUCCAACAUCCCAUCUAUUUUUUACGAACCUUAAGAAGGUCCGACGAGGUUACGUCAAAAUCUCGAUCAGGUAAAUCUAA